rnacentral:misc_RNA from 1 species
GCAAUUGUAGCUUAAGAAAAUAGCAUCGGUCUUGUAAGCCGAAGAUUGGGAUUAAUAACCCCUAUUGCUACCUUCUGAGUAUGACUAGUACAUUUGCCUUCCAAGCAGAAAGAUUAAGAUAUCCUUAAAGGAGGUAAAUGGGGCAUAGCAUAAUUGAAUGCGUUCCGCUUACACCGGGAUGAUACUUAAAACUAAGUUGCUCCAAGAUAAGGCUUU